UGCUGCAUUGAUUGGCAUCGCAGUCUACUACAUGCGCCAAAGUAUAACUGAAGAUAUUAUUGACGUUGGUAUCUGAAGUAUCGCAAUCUUGGAAUUGGAAAAAAGCUUCAUCAAGACUCUGGCUGGAGGGGAGCAGUAUAAUUAAGGGCACUGGUCUCAUGCCUGAUCAUCGAUAACACUGGAUCUUCGUUAGUGUGUAAAUUUCAGAUGCAGUGUUUCUAAGAUGCAGGUUAUACGUGAAAAAAUUGAACAUAAUGGCAAGCAGUUGCAGCAAGGGAUAAUAUUUUCAAGAGGAUUCCAUGGAACAAAAUAGAAGAUUUUUAUUAAUUAGUCCAGCCAAAAUUUGAUUUAGUAGUAGGGCAUAA